rnacentral:rRNA from 1 species
GUGCGGGUAAAGAUUUAUCGCUAUGGGAGCGGCCUGCGUUGUAUCAGCUUGUUGGUAAGGUAAUGGCUUACCAAGGCUACGACGCAUAGGGGAGGUGAGAGCCUGACCCCCACCGAUGGAACUGAGACACGGUCCAUACUCCUACGGGAGGCAGCAGCCGAGAAUAUUCCGCAAUGGACGAAAGUCUGACGGAGCGACGCCGCGUGCAGGAUGACGGCCUUCGGGUUGUAAACUGCUUUUAUGAGGGAGGAAAUUUUGACGUUACCUCAUGAAUAAGGAGCUCCUAAUUCCGUGCCAGCAGGAGCGGUCAUACGGAAGCUUCAAGCGUUACCCGGAAUCACUGGGCGUAAAGGGUGUGUAGGUGGUUGUAUUAGUCUUCUGUUAAAGACCCGGGCUCAACCCGGGGAGUGCGGAGGAAACGGUGCAACUAGAGGAUAUGAGAGGUGUGCGGAACUCAUGGUGUAGGGGUGAAAUCCGUUGAUAUCAUGGGGAACACCAAAGGCGAAGGCAGCACACUGGCAUAUUCCUGACACUGAGACACGAAAGCGUGGGUAGCGAACGGGAUUAGAUACCCCGGUAGUCCAUGCCCUAAACGAUCCUAACUAGCUUUGGGGAGUAUCGACCCUCUCCGAGGCGAAGCUAACGCGUUAAGUUAGGCGCCUGGGUAGUACGAGCGCAAGCUUAAAACUCAAAGGAAUAGACGGGGACUCGCACAAGCGGUGGAGCGUGCGGCUUAAUUCGUCGCUAAGCGAAGAACCUCACCAAGGCUAGAAAUCUACGGGAACUUACCCAGAAACGGGUAGGGCCUUCGGGCUCGUAGACAGGUGAUGCAUGGCCGUCGUCAGUUCGUGGUUUGAAUUGUACCGUUAAGUCGGGCAACGAACGCAACCCCUAUUGUCUGUUACAAGUGUCAGGCAAGACUGCCCUUUUGGGAGGAAGGUGGGGAUGACGCCAGGUCCGUAUUUCCCUAGAUGCCUUGGGCGGCACGCGCGCUACAAUGGGUGCUACAACGGGACGCGACGAGGUAACUCUGAGCAAAUCCUUUAAAAGCAUCCUCAGUUCGGAUUGUGGGCUGCAACUCGCCCACAUGAAGUCGGAAUCGCUAGUAAUCGCAGGUCAGCCACACUGCGGUGAAUACGUUCUCGAGUCUUGUACUCACCGCCCGUCAACACAAGGGAGCUGGGAGUACCCGACGUCCCAAUUUAUUUGGGCCUACGGUAAGUUCAGUAACA